rnacentral:rRNA from 1 species
AGCAGCCGCGGUAAUUCCAGCUCCAAUAGCGUAUAUUAAAGUUGUUGCAGUUAAAAAGCUCGUAGUUGAAUUUCGGGGUCAGUAGGUUGGUCGUGCCACCGGUACGCACUGGUCUCACUGAUUCCUCCUUCCUGAAGAACCGUAAUGCCAUUAAUUUGGUGUUGCGGGGAAACAGGACUGUUACUUUGAAAAAUUAGAGUGUUUAAAGCAGGCUAACGCUUGAAUACAUUAGCAUGGAAUAAUGAAAUAGGACGAUCGAUCCUAUUUUGUUGGUUUCUAGGAUUGACGUAAUGAUUAAUAGGGAUAGUUGGGGGCAUUAGUAUCCAAUUGUCAGAGGUGAAAUUCUUGGAUUUAUUGAAGACUAACUACUGCGAAAGCAUUUGCCAAGGAUGUUUUCAUUAAUCAAGAACGAAAGUUAGGGGAUCGAAGACGAUCAGAUACCGUCGUAGUCUUAACCAUAAACUAUGCCGACUAGGGAUCGGAUGAUGUUAAUUUUAUAAUGACUCAUUCGGCGCCUUAC